rnacentral:rRNA from 1 species
AGUGAACGCUGGCGGUAGGCCUAACACAUGCAAGUCGAACGGCAGCACAGUAAGAGCUUGCUCUUACGGGUGGCGAGUGGCGGACGGGUGAGGAAUACAUCGGAAUCUACUUUUUCGUGGGGGAUAACGUAGGGAAACUUACGCUAAUACCGCAUACGACCUACGGGUGAAAGCAGGGGAUCUUCGGACCUUGCGCGAUUGAAUGAGCCGAUGUCGGAUUAGCUAGUUGGCGGGGUAAAGGCCCACCAAGGCGACGAUCCGUAGCUGGUCUGAGAGGAUGAUCAGCCACACUGGAACUGAGACACGGUCCAGACUCCUACGGGAGGCAGCAGUGGAGAAUAUUGGACAAUGGGCGCAAGCCUGAUCCAGCCAUACCGCGUGGGUGAAGAAGGCCUUCGGGUUGUAAAGCCCUUUUGUUGGGAAAGAAAAGCAGCAGGUUAAGACCCCGCUGUUCUGACGGUACCCAAAGAAGAAGCACCGGCUAACUUC